rnacentral:rRNA from 1 species
UACGGAGGGUGCAAGCGUUAAUCGGAAUUACUGGGCGUAAAGCGCACGUAGGUGGUUUGUUAAGCCAGCUGUGAAAUCCCCGGGCUCAACCUGGGCACUGCAGUUGGAACUGGCGGGCUAGAGUACGAAAGAGGGUCGCGGAAUUCCCGGUGUAGAGGUGAAAUUCGUAGAUAUCGGGAGGAACACCGGUGGCGAAGGCGGCGACCUGGGUCGAUACUGACGCUGAGGUGCGAAAGCGUGGGGAGCAAACAGG